rnacentral:tRNA from 1 species
GGGCCCGUCGCCCAGACGGAAGGGCUGCGGCGCUUCGUCAUGUAACCGGCGAGUCGGUGGUUCGAUCCGCUCGGGCUCG